rnacentral:rRNA from 1 species
GACGAACGCUGGCGGCGUGCUUAACACAUGCAAGUCGAACGGAAACGACCUGCUUUUGUGGGUUGCACGAGUGGCGAACGGGUGAGUAACACGUGAGCAACCUGCCCUUGACUCUGGGAUAACUUCAGGAAACCGGGGCUAAUACCGGAUAGGAGCUCCUGCCGCAUGGCGGGGGUUGGAAAGUUUCGGCGGUUGGGGAUGGACUCGCGGCUUAUCAGUUUGUUGGUGGGGUAGUGGCUUACCAAGGCUGUGACGGGUAGCCGGCCUGAGAGGGUGACCGGCCACACUGGGACUGAGACACGGCCCAGACUCCUACGGGAGGCAGCAGUGGGGAAUAUUGCACAAUGGGCGGAAGCCUGAUGCAGCAACGCCGCGUGCGGGAUGACGGCCUUCGGGUUGUAAACCUCUUUCGCCUGGGACGAAGCGUAAGUGACGGUAAUUGGUGAAGAAGCACCGGCUAACUACGUG